rnacentral:rRNA from 1 species
UACGUAGGGGGCAAGCGUUGUCCGGAUUUAUUGGGCGUAAAGAGCGUGUAGGCGGCUGGGUAGGUCCGCUGUGAAAACUCGAGGCUUAACCUCGAGACGUCGGUGGAAACCAUCCAGCUAGAGUCCGGAAGAGGAGAGUGGAAUUCCUGGUGUAGCGGUGAAAUGCGCAGAUAUCGGGAAGAACACCCGUGGCGAAGGCGGUUCUCUGGGACGGUACUGACGCUGAGACGCGAAAGCGUGGGGAGCGAACAGG